rnacentral:rRNA from 1 species
UACAGAGGUCUCAAGCGUUGUUCGGAUUCAUUGGGCGUAAAGGGUGCGUAGGCGGCCAGAUAAGUCCGGUGUGAAAGUCACAGGCUCAACCUGUGAAUGCCGCUGGAAACUGUCUGGCUAGAGUCCGGGAGGGGCGAGUGGAAUUCCUGGUGUAGCGGUGAAAUGCGCAGAUAUCAGGAGGAACACCAAUGGCGAAGGCAGCUCGCUGGAACGGUACUGACGCUGAGGCGCGAAAGCGUGGGGAGCAAACAGG